GAGGCCGCUGCCCUUGCCCGGGCUGGAGAACCGCUCCAGCGCCAGGGCUGCCGGCUCCAUCUUCCCGCGCGCGCCGCCACAGGAGGGGCGCGGGGCCGCCCCCCCCUCAACCCCCCCCGCCGCCACGUGAUGCGGCGCUGCCGGCGCCAUCUUAACUCCGGGCACCGCGAGGGCUGCUGUGGCUCUGACCAAGGCAGGUCUGUCGCCCGCACUGAGCCUGCGGGGCAGAGCGCGGUCCCUGGGCAGAGGAGGGCUUACUCCUAAGCACAAGAAGGACAUAGAUUUGGAGCGGGACCAGAGGAGGGCCACAGAAAUGACAGAAGGCUGGAACGCUUCUCCUGCGACUGAAUGCUCAGAGCCUUGGGCUUGUCCAGCACAGAGCAGGAAAGGCUCUGGGAAGACCUUGCUGCGUUCUGUCAGUAUUUAAAGUGGGGCUAGAAGAACGAUGAGGACAGCGUUUUCAGUAGGGCCUGUUGCAGUACAGCAUUGCAGAUGCUUCAGACACUCCUCUCGCAGCUUUCAUCCCUCAGAAGAAAUGCAAAGCAAUAGGAAGUUUAAGUGGUCUCAUUAGACUUGUCUAGCACCAUUACUGCUUCAUUGCCAUACAGACCCAGUCUCAACAAGGAAGUAGAAACACAAAAAUGAAAGUGGCAUGAAGACACAUGGAAUUGGAGGGACCUCCAGAGAUGAAGUCCAAACCCCUUGCCAAAGCAUGAUAACCUAAGGGCAGUCUGCACAGGAAAGCAUCCAGGUGGGUUUUAAAACUGCUCAGAGAAAGAGACUUCCAUAACCUUUCUGGGCAGCCUAUUCCAGUGCUCUGUCACUCUCGUCAUAAAGUGCAUCUUUGUAUUGAGAUGGAACUAACUUUGUUCUAGUUUGUACCUGUUGUUUCUUGUCCUAUCACUGGGCACCACUGCAAAGAGACUAGCACCUUCAUCUUGACACCAUGAAUGCAGCAAGUCUACUGUAUCCUUGGAUAUACUGCAGAGGGAAGAUCAUGCUCAUUUUGUACUGACACUCAAGGAUUUGUCAGCAACUUUUCACUGAUGAGACUCUGAAACUAAUGUGAAGGAGUUGGAACUUGGGCAAGGGCUUCAUUGUAUGUAAACCCAUUUGUUGCAGUUUCAGUUUAUGAUCAAAGUACUAAAAUAUUAGUAAUAAAUUAUUAGUAUUAAAGUAUCAAA